UAGUGUCUUGUGUUGACAAGUUAUCAAUAUUAGACCCUCCAUGAGGCAGGAUAACGCGGGUUGUAUUAAUCGAUAUUGUGAUUAUUUAUGAGCAAUACAAGAGCUCGAUCAAGACCAUGAUCUACAAUUCUACGUCAAAUUGAAAAGAGAAACUCCAAAUCAGAAUUUUAUUUAGACAAAAUGCUCUUGCAUGCUAAGCUUAUUAAAUCCUUAAAACAAAUUGAAAAUCAAUUUUGGAUUAUUAGCAUUCUUGAAAUGAUCUCCCCAUGACUAUCAAGUUUAAUUGCGUCAAUUUUUUUGGUUGUUACUUACUCAAUCAAGAAGCACAACGUGCCUGUGAUUGGAUCAAAAACUACCCAACAGUCAAUUGAAUGAUCUUCCUGCCAACCAUUUGCAGAGGCAACAUCUUGCCAACCAUUUUUCGACAACCUGUAGAUCGGCAUACCUACAGGAUUGGGAUACUCAAGCAUGAUGUUGUGGGACUGGGCAGCUGGAGUGUGACACGCAACCCUAAAUCCGCGUGUGCAGAUCUCGCUCCGGUAUUGCGGGGGAAGCUCAUCCAUGAAAGUCCUUGUAAACCCGGAUAGUUCUGGAUUCUAAGUGGUCGCUUGUCCGAUAGUCUAGUGCUGAAUGCUGCCAUUUGAAGGAAACUCAAGCCAGAGAUGCUAUCUGCACAUCCCACCCCAGCAUGCUGAUCAAUCCAUUCGGAGAUCUGUAUCAAUAACCCGACCUCCUGACCAGUUUAUGCUCAGACAGGAGCACCCUCCUGUAGAAAAAAACAAAAAAAACAGAGUCAAACUGAAACAGAAAAGAAUUACCUAUAUGUUCGGUGUUGAAGCAAGAUUUGGUCUUCAAGAACUUCAGAAAACGAAAAGCUAACCCGAAAAUAUCCUCUUCUUUCUGCUUAUCUAAAGCUGAAGAGAAUCCAUGUAACCAUAAUGUACCAAUUUCCAUAAAUCACACUGUCUUUCAGACGAAUAAUACACCUGGGGAUCAGAAGAGACCAAGAAAUUUGUGUUUCCUUACCAUCUGAUGACAAUUUGCAUUUUAUUUGUAUCACAUAUAGUAAAUUUACCAACUCAAUGUCAAUAAUGGGAAAAUCUUUACGAAGAACUAUACAAGAACUUCUCACUUGGGUUUUGGUAUCAACCGCCACACCCUAUAGUUUCCGACUUAGCAAGUCCCUAUUUCGGGGCUCAUGCAGGGUUCAUUAACUGGUUUCUUGAAUUUGGGUUCAUAUUCAAGAAGUCCAUUGAUAACUAUUGUCUCUUAAUUUUCUUUUGUGUUGGUCUGUGUGCCUCGGAAUGAUUCUUUUCUCAAAUUACUGAUUCCAUACUCAUAUAUCACCACUUGUUCAAACAACUGUUUUCUAGUAGCUGCUUAUGUUGCGUGUUCCGUACUAUUUCUGUUGUCAUUCGGUUUAUAAACGAAAACUGUUUUCUAGUAGCUGCCUAUAUAUGCUGCGUAUUACAUUGGUUUACUAAAUGAUCUUAAUUGUGCUGCCAUCCAUUUGCUGGGCUUCAUGCGCUUUCUGAGGACUAUAUGGUGCGGAUCUAUCCAUCUCGGAAUUGAUAUUCGUGGUAUUAUAUUGUGUGACAGAUCGGUUUGGGCGUAACACGGAACCGUUAAACCUGUUUCCGCAAAAUCCAGUCCAGAUUCACCGGGAAGCUGACUGAGGUAACCUGUUGCAUCUGCAAUGAGCCGGAAUCCAUCCGUAAGGUUGCUGUCAGUUCUCAGUCCUUUGUUAAAAGGUUCAGAACCAUACUGAGGCUUCGGUCUUCAAUGGUGGAACUCGGCAUGGCUGGAUUGUGUUAAUUUUCUUUGACCUUAUUUGUACAACUGUCCCGUUAUGGGACAAAAUUGGCCGAGCCAGCACGUACUUAUCUAAUGCGUGCGCAUACUUGCUUUUGAGCCCAUCCCAAUGCUACCUAGGUACGGCAGACGGAAUGAUCCUUGUUUAAGGUUGUGUUUGUUCAUUGAUGAACUCACCUGGACAAGAAAUGGUUCCUUAAGGGGAAAAUGGUUUGUAAAGGACAGACAGUGUUGAGAUCCUCUAGUCUUAGGAUGAAUUAAGCUGCUGACUUGUUCGAACCGACAUUAAAUGUUCAUGUUGACGCAGGCAUAUUUGCGAGAGUUUCAGUUUACAUGUGAAAUUUUGUACUUUGUAAUUUUUA